ACUCAAAUGAAUUGACGGGGGCCCGCACAAGCGGUGGAGGAUGUGGUUUAAUUCGACGCAACGCGAAGAACCUUACCAAGGCUUGACAUCCACAGAAUCUGGUAGAAAUACUGGAGUGUUCGAAAGAAAACUGUGAGACAGGUGGUGCAUGGCUGUCGUCAGCUCGUGUCGUGAGAUGUUGGGUUAAGUCCCGCAACGAGCGCAACCCUCGAUGUUAGUUACCAUCAUUAAGUUGGGGACUCUAACGUGACUGCCGGUGAUAAGCCGGAGGAAGGUGAGGACGACGUCAAGUCAUCAUGCCCCUUACGUCUUGGGCUACACACGUCCUACAAUGGUAUAGACAAAGGGCAGCAAGCUAGCAAUAGUGAGCGAAUCCCAUAAACUAUAUCUCAGUUCGGAUUGUAGGCUGAAACUCGCCUACAUGAAGUCGGAAUCGCUAGUAACCGUAGAUCAGCAUGCUACGGUGAAUACGUUCCCGGGCCUUGCACACACCGCCCGU
rnacentral:rRNA from 1 species